CUAAUUUACUUCAAUAAAAAUGUAACUGGCAUCACUAUUUAAGGAACAAUCGCAGCGAUAAACAUUAAUCCCCACUCGACUUCCUCUUGAGACACAAGUCAGACUUGACAUUGUAUAAAAUUAAUAUUAAAAUCUUUUUUUUUAAUUUAUUCAAAAAUCGUCUACAGCCAUUCAGCAGAUAAAAGAUCGAGUCUAGGUGACUCAUUUGCGUUAAAGGCCAUAGGAAAUUGGCCCCUAAAAAAUCUAUUACCGAUAGACGGUCCAUAGUCAAUUAUACGAGUACUCCUAAGAAAUACGUAACAAUUGUACGAUUUUUGAAUUUCUCAAGUACGAAUACUCGAUGUGUUUUCGAAAACUUGAAUAUCAUAAAAAUGUUACGCCUUGCCGAGUAAGACAUACCGUGCAUUCUAAUAUAUGUCAAGUAUGCAUCAUGUACUAGGGGCGAGCAUGCGAGUCUACCUUUAUGCGAAUGGAAUCUCAUAAAUAUACAUGGACAGAUACACAUAUGAUUGUAGGUACGCGAAAAAAAUAAUGAUAAUAUAAAACCACUAAGAAAUUUUAUGGGACAAUGAAGAGGCUCGAGGAAUAUACGGAAAUCGUAUUUAUAACUGUGCAAAUGACAAAGGGGAUGCAAAUCGAUUGACCGUUACAUUAUGGAAGAAAUAUGAAUGAAUGAUAAUAUAAAUUUGUCACGGACUGUGCGGUACAGUAAUAAAAAGAUCGAUCAUACAUUACUGUAUAACCGUGAGGUAAAAUUUAGUAGCCUCUGAAGAAAAAGUUUUUCAGUGCUAAAUUCCUCAACUAAAAAGUCAGCUGUUUAACGUAUCAAAUAUCUUCUAUUGGAAUUUUAUAGGAUUCAAAGGAAUCUCGCCUGCAGCCGGCCGUUUAUUCUGGAUUGCACGCUGGCAGAAGGAGUCAGCAAAGACUGUUACGUAAACUCGCGGCUUUCUUUUCGCUGACGCUUAGCAGUUUCAUUGGGCAACCAGCUCACAUACGGGAGCACAUGCUGAGUGUAUUAUGGCGGUAUAUGUAGCGUAGCUAUGCAUGUCCAAUAAGAGACGAUAUAUAUGAUGGUUUUCUAGUAUGAAAAUCCUAGGGAAUUUUGUACUAAGCGUAUAGAAUAUUUUUAUGUAUUUUCGUGCAUAGGUACCGGCGUAAGAGAUAUUGCAAUUUUUCUUCGAAAUUUCUAUGUAAUCCAACAUGAUAAUAUGUUGAAUAAUGUAGAAGAAUCAGUAUAAAAAUUAAAAAUUAGCAUAGUCUUUAGUGUACUCGCAAUGUAUAUUGUUAGUCAUCGCGUGUUACACCAUUGCUAUCUAUCAUCCUUAAGAGUGCAUCAAGAUCGCGGACUCGUAUUAUUUUCACGCUUCCACGCGAUAGACAUUAUACGCCUCGUUCGAGUUGUUAAACGAUAGAGUUGUUGUUAAAUAGAAAAAGAAAAAUCUGAAAAUUAUCAAAGAUUAUUUUCUCUUUAAAAAAUCCUCAUAAAUCAUCGGGAUGACAGUUUCCUUCAUAUGUACUUGAAUGCGUAAGAUUUUGUAUUUACCGCCAAAAUGUAUCCGUGUCAAAGCGCUCGACGUCCGGUGUAAUUUCUUUUCUGGGAAGAGACCGAAACCAAAGGAAACAAUUAAGCAACUUCCGUUAAGAGAGAAAUAAAAGUCAAGCGAGAGACAUAAAAAAGGAUAAGAGUGAAAAUGUCCGCGUUAAGAAGUUUUGCGAAAUGGUCGUUAGAUCUGGCGAAUCCGAACGAAUUAUUUACCAAUUAAUCAACUUCGUUCUUUGGCAAAAAAAAAUGAACUAAUAGAAGCAGCACAGUUUCCGGAAAAUUACGUCACCCUCAAUUCCCUCUCGUUACACGAAAGAAAAUUCAAAUUUACGGAUGAUUGCAAAAAAACGGUUCUAUGGAAGCAAGAGACUGGUAAAUUUAUACUUGGCGUAAUCGAUAGUUACGAUAUUGAUUAAUUACCGGAGUAAGUACCAUUACAACGAUGUCAUUCCGUUAAUGCUAAAUAAGUGGGAACGAGACAUUAUUUUCUCGAAGCUUGACUAUAGGAAAUUCGACGACUUCGUUCUUGUUAACGAUCGAUAUCCGCCAUAUCCUUCGAUAAUUAAAUUCAGCCGAACGGCAGUUCCGUACGACUACUUGUGGAUGAUUAAAUGUGUCAUUAUUGAAACUUCGCCUUCGCAGCGCAUUGGUGAAUGAAUUUUGAUAAGCCGUCAGGUAAAGUGCAUUUCAACGAAAUCACAUAGCGAAAUCAGUUGGGUAUCCAUGCGGUUUGUGCGUUCGGAUUACACGAAUGGCAUAAUAUACAAUGGCAUCAGGAUACAUCAUAUUUGCCAAUAUUAAUGGUGCUGUACGUAAUGAUGCUUAGUAUUCGAAAUUCGAAAUCCAAGAUGGCCGCGUAAUGCUCGAUGGUGUAGAUUGCGCAAGAUAAUUCAGCAUUCCGCCUCGGAAUACGACGACACGCGCUUACUUGACUCCCAGACACAUGUGGAAAGACUAGCUUGAGUUAUUCCUUCUUUUUAAUGGGCCAUGGUCAAGUCGAAUUUUAUAAAGGUGUCGACCAUUGUGGAAUACUGCAUUGACACCUGUGGCUAUUGUGUUUAACUAUUUAUUAUUUAUUUUUAUAUUCUUCAAUAGAUUAGCAGGACAUUUGCAUCGAAUUCACCUUUGAUUUACAAUUCGUCCGGGGCAAUCUCGUGCAUCUGCGAGUUACCUUUUUGACCAUGAAAUUUAGCAAUUAAUAACUACGUUACCGAUAAGGUAGUCUUACUUUACUUCAAAUGUGAAAUUUACUCUGUAGUCAAUUAUAAUACAAUAACCUGCUGGGAAAUAUCUGACUCACAGUGUACCCUUCGAGCUUCGGAAAAAGCCGAGAAUGUCUAGAUUUAUUUUUUAUUAUGUUUGUAUAUUUGUUCACUCUGGUAUCCUUAGCACUGCCAAUGCCAAGUGAGUGUCAUGGUGGUUUAAUUAAAAUAUCCAUACGCCACUUCACGUGAACCAACCUGACGCGAAGGCCAGCGAUAUUUCUUUUGACCAAUAAAAUAAUUAUUAAAAAGGUUUCAGGGAAUAAAGUAUAACCCAAUAACAAUAUACUGUUAUGUUGUUUUGUCAGUUCUAGUCGCACAUUUUUUAUUGGAAAAUUUAUCAUGCCUACAGACAGCUGUUCAGUAGACUAUUGUACCGAUUCGAACGAACGAGCUAACUUCGCUCGGUGCAAUGUUCCGGAAUAACCUUAUAUAUCCGUAAGUGCAUUGCAAUAUUUAAUUAAAUCUUGCUUUCCUUUCAAAUUACUUUUUCCACAGAUACUUGCCGAUCGCCAUUAAUAAAUUACGCACUGUGUACAAGAAUUAGGUAUAAAAAGUCCUUUCUAAAUAUCGUUCCUCGUGGAUAAACUGCAAGCCAAGUAACUAAGCAUAACAGAACACACCUGCGCGUAUAUGAGAAGCGGGAGCAAUUGCGCAAGUCAAUAAAAAAAAUCCUAAUUAUUUAUGCCGUGCAAGUUGGUCAAGAAAUCAAGUUCUGUCUCGCAGUAUAAAAUGACAUCUACACAAGACCAAUGACUACCAUGGAAUAGUAUGUGAUUUCAUACAACGGAAGAUUCCACAAAAUCAUUCUCUAGGUCAUAGGAGAAAUAAAGGAGUAUCUAGAUAUUAUGUAUCUACGUGGGUUGGCCCCUUGUGGCUGGUAUCAAAAUCGUGCAUCCCGAAUACCGGUCAGUCAUGUUUACGUCAUAGUUUCGUCCCGUAUAACCAGCUGACCUACUAAAAACUUCUCAAUCAGACAUUCCGUGGUACCACCUUCGGGAAAAGUUUCGACCGUCUCCCGAUUCUAGAUGUAACGCAUAAUCGUGCGUUAGAUUAUGACCAAAGAUUCACGACCCGACCCAUAACCCACUGGGAUUAUUCAGGACGACAGUUACACCAAAGAAGAAUGUUUACUCACGGGGAAAGUCAGACGGUAGGCUUUUGUGAGCGUAAUUAAAAUCUCACUACUUACGUCACAAGCCUCGACAAUUCCUUUGAGUCAAAUUCCAUUAUUGUGGUGAAAAUAUUUUAUAUUUUAAUUCAAAUAAAACGUUAUUUUUAUCGGUACGGUUGACUCUUAAACUAACGAGAAGAGAAAAGCAGAGGACGUGAUUUUCCAUUGUGAAGCUUUUGCAAUUCGUUUGACGAGAAUAAAUUUUAUGAAAAAUUGA